rnacentral:rRNA from 1 species
UACAGAGGGGGCAAGCGUUGUUCGGAAUUACUGGGCGUAAAGGGCGCGUAGGCGGCCUGCUAAGUCGAACGUGAAAUCCCUGGGCUCAACCCAGGAACUGCGUCCGAUACUGGUUGGCUUGAAUCCGGGAGAGGGAUGUGGAAUUCCAGGUGUAGCGGUGAAAUGCGUAGAUAUCAGGAGGAACACCGGUGGCGAAGGCGGUGGUCUGGGCCGGCACUGACGCUGAGGAGCGAAGGCCAGGGGAGCAAACGGG